rnacentral:tmRNA from 1 species
GGGGGUGAAUUAGGUUCGACAUAGGUAGGAUGAGCAUCAGGAGCGAGCCGAGGUCCCCGAAACCUCGUUAAACCUUGGGAACUUAAAAUAACUGCAAACAAUAAGUACGCUUUAGCUGCUUAGUUCAGCUAACACUUCUCUAGUCUUUUCCUGCGGGAUUAGAGCGGUGUCAUACUAGCAGGGUACCUUAUAGCCUUACCUGGAGCUAUAGGGGAAACUAACAGGUUGGUUGGUUAAUCAUCCAGCUACAAGGAGGUUUAACCAACGAGAUUUAAAAUUGUAGCUGCGCUCGGAGAGCCUGGUGUGGGUUCACUUAUGGACAGCGGUGCAACUCCGCUCACCUCCACCA